rnacentral:rRNA from 1 species
CAGCAGCCGCGGUAAUACGUAGGUCCCGAGCGUUGUCCGGAUUUAUUGGGCGUAAAGGGAGCGCAGGCGGUUUAGUAAGUCUGAAGUUAAAGGCAUUGGCUCAACCAAUGUAUGCUUUGGAAACUGUUAGACUUGAGUGCAGAAGGGGAGAGUGGAAUUCCAUGUGUAGCGGUGAAAUGCGUAGAUAUAUGGAGGAACACCGGUGGCGAAAGCGGCUCUCUGGUCUGUCACUGACGCUGAGGCUCGAAAGCGUGGGGAGCGAACAGGAUUAGAUACCCGUGUAGUCCCUGUCUCUUAUACA